AUUGAACGCUGGCGGCAGGCCUAACACAUGCAAGUCGAGCGGAGUGGCGGACGGGUGAGUAAUGCCUAGGAAUCUGCCUGGUAGUGGGGGAUAAAGUCCGGAAAAGGGCGCUAAUACCGCAUACUAUCAGAUGAGCCUAGGCCGGAUUAGCUAGUUGGUGGGGUAAUGGCAUAACAAGGCGACGAUACGUAACUGGUCUGAGAGGAUGAUCAGUCACACUGGAACUGAGACACGGUCCAGACUCCUACGGUAGGCAGCAGUGGGGAAUAUUGGACAAUGGGCGAAAGCCUGAUCCAGCCAUGCCGCGUGUGUGAAGAAGGUCUUCGGAUUGUAAAGCACUUUAAGUUGGGAGGCGUUACCAACAGAAUAAGCACCGGCUAACUUCGUGCCAGCCGCCGCGGUAAUUC
rnacentral:rRNA from 1 species